rnacentral:rRNA from 1 species
UGGGGAAUUUUGGACAAUGGGCGAAAGCCUGAUCCAGCAAUGCCGCGUGUGUGAAGAAGGCCUUCGGGUUGUAAAGCACUUUUGUCCGGAAAGAAAUCCUUGGCUCUAAUACAGUCGGGGGAUGACGGUACCGGAAGAAUAAGCACCGGCUAACUACGUGCCAGCAGCCGCGGUAAUACGUAGGGUGCAAGCGUUAAUCGGAAUUACUGGGCGUAAAGCGUGCGCAGGCGGUUUGCUAAGACCGAUGUGAAAUCCCCGGGCUCAACCUGGGAACUGCAUUGGUGACUGGCAGGCUAGAGUAUGGCAGAGGGGGGUAGAAUUCCACGUGUAGCAGUGAAAUGCGUAGAGAUGUGGAGGAAUACCGAUGGCGAAGGCAGCCCCCUGGGCCAAUACUGACGCUCAUGCACGAAAGCGUGGGGAGCAAACAGGAUUAGAUACCCUGGUAGUCCACGCCCUAAACGAUGUCAACUAGUUGUUGGGGAUUCAUUUCCUUAGUAACGUAGCUAACGCGUGAAGUUGACCGCCUGGGGAGUACGUCGCAAGAUUAAAACUCAAAUGAA